rnacentral:misc_RNA from 1 species
GAUGAAGAACGUAGCGAAAUGCGAUAAGUAAUUUGAAUUGCAGAAUUCAGUGAAUCAUCGAAUCUUUGAACGCACAUUGCGCCCCCCGGCAUUCCGGGGAGCAUGCCUGUUCGAGCGUCUCUUGGAAUACCCCUCACGCCGGCGGAGGCGUGGUCAUGGCGGCGGUGGCGUGCCCCGAGAGGGAGGCCACCGCGCUGGAAUCCAUGGGCGGACGCCUGCCGCGUGGCCGAGCGUGAUAAGACGCACUGGCGCUCGCGCGCGGCGAGGCUGCCGGCCCUGGCCCGCUCGUCGGGCGGGGACAGCAACACUUGGGAACUCCUCGAAUCAGGUAGGGAUACCCGCUGAACUUAAGCAUAUCAAUAAGCGGAGGA